UACCAGCACCCCGAGUGGUCGGGACGUUUAUUGGGCCUAAAGCAUCCGUAGCCGGUUCUACAAGUCUUCCGUUAAAUCCACCUGCUCAACAGAUGGGCUGCGGAAGAUACUAUGGAGCUAGGAGGCGGGGAGAGGCAAGCGGUACUCGAUGGGUAGGGGUAAAAUCCGUUGAUCCAUUGAAGACCACCAGUGGCGAAGGCGGCUUGCCCAGA
rnacentral:rRNA from 1 species